AACAUGCAAGUCGAACGAACUCUGGUAUUGAUUGGUGCUUGCAUCAUGAUUUACAUUUGAGUGAGUGGCGAACUGGUGAGUAACACGUGGGAAACCUGCCCAGAAGCGGGGGAUAACACCUGGAAACAGAUGCUAAUACCGCAUAACAACUUGGACCGCAUGGUCCGAGCUUGAAAGAUGGCUUCGGCUAUCACUUUUGGAUGGUCCCGCGGCGUAUUAGCUAGAUGGUGGGGUAACGGCUCACCAUGGCAAUGAUACGUAGCCGACCUGAGAGGGUAAUCGGCCACAUUGGGACUGAGACACGGCCCAAACUCCUACGGGAGGCAGCAGUAGGGAAUCUUCCACAAUGGACGAAAGUCUGAUGGAGCAACGCCGCGUGAGUGAAGAAGGGUUUCGGCUCGUAAAACUCUGUUGUUAAAGAAGAACAUAUCUGAGAGUAACUGUUCAGGUAUUGACGGUAUUUAACCAGAAAGCCACGGCUAACUACGUGCCAGCAGCCGCGGUAAUACGUAGGUGGCAAGCGUUGUCCGGAUUUAUUGGGCGUAAAGCGAGCGCAGGCGGUUUUUUAAGUCUGAUGUGAAAGCCUUCGGCUCAACCGAAGAAGUGCAUCGGAAACUGGGAAACUUGAGUGCAGAAGAGGACAGUGGAACUCCAUGUGUAGCGGUGAAAUGCGUAGAUAUAUGGAAGAACACCAGUGGCGAAGGCGGCUGUCUGGUCUGUAACUGACGCUGAGGCUCGAAAGUAUGGGUAGCAAACAGGAUUAGAUACCCUGGUAGUCCAUACCGUAAACGAUGAAUGCUAAGUGUUGGAGGGUUUCCGCCCUUCAGUGCUGCAGCUAACGCAUUAAGCAUUCCGCCUGGGGAGUACGGCCGCAAGGCUGAAACUCAAAGGAAUUGACGGGGGCCCGCACAAGCGGUGGAGCAUGUGGUUUAAUUCGAAGCUACGCGAAGAACCUUACCAGGUCUUGACAUACUAUGCAAAUCUAAGAGAUUAGACGUUCCCUUCGGGGACAUGGAUACAGGUGGUGCAUGGUUGUCGUCAGCUCGUGUCGUGAGAUGUGGGGUUAAGUCCCGCA
rnacentral:rRNA from 2 species